CCAAAACACCCUUUGGCAACAUUGAGGAUUUUAAAAAAUUUGAAAAGGAAAUUAAGGACCAUUCUUCCAAAUACGAAAGUCUGUCUGAAGAACUUUCGCAUAUAAUUUGUACGAGCGUGAAAAAUUUAUUAAAAUGGCUUGGCGUAAAAUUGUUACGGAUAACGCAGCACAAAAUUUAUGCUGGAAAGGGACAAACACCAAAGUGGCAGCAAGAAGUUUAAGCAUUACAGCAGCUUUAAAAAAUGUACUUUCCGUGAAAUUUCCCCAAUCCACAGACGACGAACUCGCACGAACCUUCAUUACCUUUUUCCAGCAUGCAAAAGGACGACUUCUAAAACGCACUGUAUAUCAAAGCAAUAGAAAUAGUAGUCUAGAAACCUAAAGACAACUUCAUACCAGGGCUCGAAAAUGCCAUUUUCGUAUACAUCCAUUUUGUCACCGAAAAUCACAUACAAAUGUGUAUAUAGUAUGUAUUGCUAGUUUUUGCUGAACAAUCCAAGCCCUGUAUAUAGUCAUUUUAAUUUUAAGUAAAAGUAAAAAAAAAAAACUGAAUUAUACCUGAGUUUAAGAAAACUAAGACUGAAUGAAUUAACAAUACUUUAUCCAUUUAUUUUAAUUAAAGUGCUUUAUAAUUUUAAAAAUGAACCUUCUACUUUUUCAAUUUUCUAAACUUGAGCUAAAACGGGGUAAAAAAUGGUAUUUAACCAUUCUAAUUUAAGUUAAGCUAUUGUAUUUGUACAUAUAUAUUUUGUCGAAAAUAUAGUUCAUGCUACAAUGAA